GAUGAAGAACGCAGCGAAAUGCGAUACGUAAUGUGAAUUGCAGAAUUCAGUGAAUCAUCGAAUCUUUGAACGCAUAUUGCGCUCUCUGGUAUUCCGGAGAGCAUGCUUGUUUGAGUAUCAGUAAACACCUCAACUUCCAUAUCUUUUUUGAAAUGGGAGUUGGACUUGAGUGAUCCCAACGCUUUUCCUCACCGAAAAGUGGCGGGUUACUUGAAAUGCAGGUGCAGCUGGACUUUUCUCUGAGCUAUAAGCAUAUCUAUUUAGUCUGCCUAAAAAGCAGAUUAUUACCUUUGCUGCAGCUAACAUAAAGGAGAUUAGUUCUUGUGCUGACUGAUGCAGGAUUCACAAAGACAGGCUUCGGCCGACUUUGUAAACUCGAUCUCAAAUCAAGUAAGACUACCCGCUGAACUUAAGCAUAUCAAUAAGCGGAGGA
rnacentral:misc_RNA from 1 species